UAUAGCUCAGUGGUGGAGCUCUUGCUUAUCAUGUGGGAGGCUCUGGGUUCAAUUCCCAGUA
rnacentral:tRNA from 1 species